GACGAACGCUGGCGGCGUGCCUAAUACAUGCAAGUAGGACGCAGUUGUGAACGGGUGAGUAACGCGUAGGUAACUGCCUAUUAUAGGGGGACAACCACUGGAAACGAAAGCUAAUACCGCAUACUAGUAGAUGGACCGGCGUUGUAUUUGCUAGUAGGUAGGGUAAUGGCCUAUCUAGGCAAAGACACAUAGCCGACCUGGGAGGGUGGACGGCCAAAAUGGGACUGGGACACGGCCCAGACUCCUUAGGGGAGGAGGAGUAGGGGAACUUCGGAAAUGGGGGGAAACCUGACCGAGGAACGGCGCGUGGGUGGAGGAAGUUUUCAGAACGUAAAAGUCUGUUGUUUAGGAAGCGGUACUUAACCAGAAAGGGACGGCUAACUACGUGCCAGCAGCCGCGGUAAUUC
rnacentral:rRNA from 1 species